GAUGAACGCUGGCGGUAUGCUUAACACAUGCAAGUCGAACGAAAGUUUUUAACUUUAGUGGCGAACGGGUGCGUAAUACGUGAGAAUCUGCCCUUAGGAGGAGGAUAACUGCUGGAAACGGCUGCUAACACUCCAUAUGUCGAGAGAUGAAAUAAUUUAUUGCCUAAGGAUGAGCUCGCGCCUGAUUAGCUAGUUGGUGAGGUAAUGGCUCACCAAGGCCACGAUCAGUAGCUGGUUUGAGAGAACGAUCAGCCACACUGGGACUGAGACACGGCCCAGACUCCUCCGGGAGGCAGCAGUGAGGAAUUUUCCGCAAUGGGCGAAAGCCUGACGGAGCAAUACCGCGUGAGGGACGAAGGAUUUUGGUCUGUAAACCUCUUUUCUCAAGAAAGAAGUUCUGACGGUACUUGAGGAAUAAGCAUCGGCUAACUCCGUGCCAGCAGCCGCGGUAAUACGGGGGAUGCAAGCGUUAUCCGGAAUCAUUGGGCGUAAAGCGUCUGUAGGUUGUUUAAUAAGUCUGUUGUUAAAGACUAGGGCUCAACCCUAGAAAAGCAAUGGAAACUACUAGACUUGAGUAUGGCAGGGGUAGAGGGAAUUUCUAGUGUAGCGGUGAAAUGCGUAGAUAUUAGAAAGAACACCAGCGGCGAAAGCGCUCUACUGGACCAUUACUGACACUCAGAGACGAAAGCUAGGGUAGCAAAAGGGAUUAGAUACCCCUGUAGUCCUAGCCGUAAACGAUGGAUACUAGAUGUUGUGUUUAAUAUGCAGUAUCGUAGCUAACGCGU
rnacentral:rRNA from 1 species